GAGUCCGCGUCUCAUUAGCUUGUUGGUGAGGUAACGGCUCACCAAGGCGACGAUCGGUAGCUGGUCUGAGAGGACGAUCAGCCACAUUGGGACUGAGACACGGCCCAGACUCCUACGGGAGGCAGCAGUGGGGAAUAUUGGACAAUGGGCGAAAGCCUGAUCCAGCCAUGCCGCGUGAGUGAUUUGAAGGCCCUAGGGUUGUAAAGCUCUUUCGGCGGGGAAGAUGAUGACGGUACCCGCAGAAGAAGCCCCGGCUAACUCCGUGCCAGCAGCCGCGGUAAUACGGAGGGGGCUAGCGUUGCUCGGAAUCACUGGGCGUAAAGCGAGCGUAGGCGGCCGCGCAAGUCGGGGGUGAAAGCCCGGGGCUCAACCCCGGAAUUGCCCUCGAAACUGCGUGGCUAGAGGCCGGGAGAGGAGAGUGGAAUUCCCAGUGGAGAGGUGAAAUUCGCAGAUAUUGGGAGGAACACCGGUGGCGAAAGCGGCUCUCUGGAACGGUUCUGACGCUGAGGCUCGAAAGCAUGGGGAGCAAACAGGAUUAA
rnacentral:rRNA from 1 species